rnacentral:lncRNA from 1 species
UAAGAGGCUCUAUGCAUUAGCCAAAACAUUAGCUGUAAGUAUUUUUUUUCCUCCAAAGUACAUUAAUGGC